AAGCUUUCUCAGUGAUUGCUGUAGUACCUGAGAUUCUACCAUAGGAUCUUCUGCCUACAUUAAACUGAUCUUGCAUCUUUAAUGGAUAAAACAUUUGAGAGAAAGUUGCCUGUUAGUUCUUUAACAAUAUCACGGCUUAUAGACAACAUUUCCUCUCGGGAAGAGAUAGAUCAUGCAGAGUAUUACCUUUACAAGUUUCGACACAGCCCCAACUGCUGGUACCUGAGAAACUGGACUAUCCACACCUGGAUUAGGCAGUGUCUAAAAUAUGAUGCACAAGACAAAGCCCUAUAUACCC
rnacentral:sRNA from 1 species